rnacentral:rRNA from 1 species
AGAACGAACGCUGGCGGCAGGCUUAACACAUGCAAGUCGAACGGUUCCUUCGGGGACAGUGGCAGACGGGUGAGUAACGCGUGGGAAUCUACCCUUUUCUACGGGACAGCUCCGGGAAACUGGAAUUAAUACCGUAUAAGCCCGUCCGCAAGGACGGGGAAAGAUUCAUCGGGAGAGGAUGAGCCCGCGUUGGAUUAGCUAGUUGGUGAGGUAAUGGCUCACCAAGGCGACGAUCCAUAGCUGGUCUGAGAGGAUGACCAGCCACAUUGGGACUGAGACACGGCCCAAACUCCUACGGGAGGCAGCAGUGGGGAAUAUUGGACAAUGGGCGCAAGCCUGGAUCCAGCCAUGCCGCGUGAGUGAUGAAGGCCCGUAGGUUAGUAAAGCUCUUUCAGGUGGGGACGAUAAGUGACGUACCCACAGAAGAACGCCCCGGCUUAACCUUCGUA